UACGUAGGUGGCAAGCGUUAUCCGGAUUUACUGGGUGUAAAGGGCGUGUAGGCGGGACUGCAAGUCAGAUGUGAAAACUAUGGGCUCAACCCAUAGCCUGCAUUUGAAACUGUAUUUCUUGAGUGCACGCAGGGGUGCCGGAAUUCAUGGUGUAGCGGUGAAAUGCGUAGAUAUACGGAGGAACACCAGUGGCGAAGGCGGCCUGCUGGACAAUAACUGACGCUGAGGCGCGAAAGCGUGGGGAGCAA
rnacentral:rRNA from 1 species